GGGCUGUUCGCCCAUUAAAGCGGUACGCGAGCUGGGUUCAGAACGUCGUGAGACAGUUCGGUCCCUAUCCGGCGUGGGCGUAGGAUAUUUGAGAGGAGCUGACCUUAGUACGAGAGGACCGGGUUGGACUGGCCGCUGGUGUAUCUGUUGUUCCGCCAGGAGCAUAGCAGAGUAGCCAAGCCGGGAAGGGAUAAACGCUGAAGGCAUCUAAGCGUGAAGCCCCCCUCAAGAUGAGAUAUCCCAUAACGUCAAGUUAGUAAGACCCCUUGAAGACGACGAGGUAGAUAGGGCAGAGGUGGAAGUGCGGCAACGCAUGGAGCUGACUGUUACUAAUAGGUCGAGGGCAUAACC
rnacentral:rRNA from 1 species